rnacentral:snRNA from 14 species
AUACUUACCUUGGAGGGACAAUCUGAGCUCAUUAAUUCAGAUUGUCACAUCGAGACUCUGUCCAUUGCACAUCGGACUGGUCUCUUUGUUGGAAAUCCUUCGGGGCUUCCACUUCUGCAAUUUUUGUCUCUUGCUGACCAUCCUUUUUCCUUUUCAUCAU